AUGGCUGUGCCCAUGGACAGCGUGGGGCUCCGGGCUGGGACCGUUCCUGCACCUCAGCCCUGCCGGGGGCCGCGACACCGCGCUCCGGCUGCCCCCGCGGAGGAGGCAGCGGUGCCGGCAGCGAGGGCUGACCCAGGAAGAAGGGGCAAUUCCUCCCCUUCCCUCGCCGCUGGUGGCAUGCUCCUCGGGCUCCGUCUUCCCCAGCCUCCCAAGCUGCCGCCUCCGGACCAAAACGGGCYGCUGCGGUCGGAAACGCUCCUUGCCGAGCCGUGGCCUUCGCGGGGUGUUUCACCCCCCGGCCCCGGCGUAGCUGGCACGGCACAGCGGCGCUGGCCUGCUUCGCCUGCCCGUUUCGUUCCAGGUAAUUCGAGUCCAGCUUUCCCGCUCGGCUCCCCGGCGCUGCGUUUUUGACAUCCCUCUGGGCUUCAACGCGGUUCUGCCUCAAAGGCCCCUCUCUGCCAGCGAAUGCUUUUCUCAGUUGAAACACACCUCCUCCUUUUGCAUUUUUGCAUUCAUCUUUUCCUUUAAAACAAGAUUAUUUCUCCGUUUCUCCCUGUAAUUGCAUUCUGCCAAGCUGGAAAAGAUCCAGCCUCGACCCAGUCUAAAUCCAGAUUUUUUUUUUCCAUCCAGUUUUAGAUUUUCUGCAGGAUUUAGCUGCAGGCGUCUAGACGUAGUCACGGAGAUGGGAACAGACCGGCUGCAAGAUUCCCCGUGCUUCCAAAUCCAGACGCGUAAGAAAAUUGCCUGGAAAACGGGCGUGAGUCAGCGGGCACGAAUAGCCCCGGCGCGGAUAACUCGGUCCGCCAGCCCCGAAGGCGGAAAGCCCUCRGCUGCGUGCCACACUGGUGCUUUUCGCGGCCCCCCCAGGCUGACAGCUUGGGUUUCAGGCCAGACAUUCCUAGCUGGUAAUUCAGGGAUCGCAAAUGGCAAAGGUUGAAGGCGCUUCGGCUUUCCAGAGGAGUCUUGGCCGGGAUCCCCUGCCCGUUGUGCGGGCUGCCGGGGGGGAUUUGCUCUUCGGAGCCGCGGAGGCGUCCGCGUCCGCGUCCCUGCGCGCAGCCGGGGAACGAUCUCCCCUUUCCCCCCGGUCAGGUUUCUCUUUCUGCUGUUUCUUUACACCGUGACAAUGUUUUUUCCUCCUGCAAAUCCGGAGGAUUUAGUCAGCAGAGCUGGGUGCCAGGUCUGGGUCGCUCGUCCUCRGCAUCCCCUCGUGUUGCUCCUGCAAUUACCCCUCCGGCGCCAGAGCCGAGCCCGGCUCCGUCCCAGCCCUCGCUGGGCUUUGGAGAUCGGUGGCUCCCUCUGAAUGUCUGUUAUUCACGUAGCCUUAAUUCCUUAAUUUUUAAGCUUACGGAAGGGAGCCUGCAAGCCCCAGAGCAUCUCAUGCGCUCCCAGCAAAGACUUAAAAAAAAGGUCC
rnacentral:lncRNA from 1 species